rnacentral:tRNA from 1 species
AUUAUUUUGGCAGAUUAGUGUAAUAGAUUUAGAAUCUAUAAAUGUAAAGUUUUACAAAUAAUA